rnacentral:rRNA from 1 species
CUUUACUGUAGCUUUGUAUUGGACUUUGAACAGAUCUGUGUAGGAUAGGUGGGAGGCUUUGAAGCUGGGUCGCUAGAUCUGGUGGAGCCGACGUUGAAAUACCACCCUGGUGUGUUUGAGGUUCUAACCCAGGUCCAUUAUCUGGAUCGGGGACAGUGCAUGGUAGGCAGUUUGAUUGGGGCGGUCUCCUCCCAAAGUGUAACGGAGGAGUUCGAAGGUACGCUAGGUACGGUCGGACAUCGUGCUAAUAGUGCAAUGGCAUAAGCGUGCUUAACUGCGAGACUGACAAGUCGAGCAGAUGCGAAAGCAGGACAUAGUGAUCCGGUGGUUCUGUAUGGAAGGGCCAUCGCUCAACGGAUAAAAGGUA